UUAAGGGUGGUGAGGCACUGGAAUGGGUUGCCCAGGGAAGUUGUGAAUGCUCCAUCCCUGGCAGUAUUCAAGGCCAGGUUGGACAGAGCCUUGGGUGAUAUGGUUUAGUGUGAGGUGUCCCUGCCCAUGGCAGGGGGGUUGGAACUAGAUCAUCUUAAGGCCCUUUCCAACCUGAACUAUUCUAUGUUUUGAAACUUACUAAAAAGGCUUCCAUUUCAGGUCUUAAUUCUUCAAAGAUUUUCUCUUUUUUUCUUUUCUUUUAAUAGAAGCAAGCAAUUAAAAUACAUUUCAUAUGGCUGCUCUUUCCUGCUUGAAGGCAAUGUGGUAUUGAACUCUAGUAAAGCAAAGCAGUAGUAAUGUAAGUCUACUUAAUUGAUUUGCUUACAUUGAUUGCAUUUCAUACAACUCCUUCAAAUACAGACUUACAGGCAAAAUUAAAUUGUAUAAAUAUACCUCAACUUAGAAGCUUUAAUUAUUCACUCUGCUUUUACAGAAUGGCUUUUCAUUCUGUUCUGUGAACUUAUUAAAAAUGAGUAGGUAAACUUCAGCAUUAUUGAUGCCCUCUUAAGGGAGCUGCUGUCUUCGAACAAAUAAUUCAAUUCCUAACACCAAGAUUUAUCUUAAUAUUAUACUGGCAAGGCCAGAUCCUCAAUUUGAUAAAUCGCUGUAUGUCAAAUGGAAUAAUAAAUACAGCUAGGAUCCACACUCUGUUGAGAAUCUAGCCUUCUGGGUUUUAAUCUUUAUGGAUUUUUAAUAAAUGAAAGGCCUGAUUUUAAUUGCACUUUUUAGAAUGUUUCAUAUUUUGAAUAUAGCCUGUAAAAUUUAUGGUAUUAAAGGAGACUUUGAAUGGGGUUUUCUCAAGCUAAAGAAACAUGCUGCAGAGCCAGAAAUGAAAACAAAACACACAAAUAUUUUGCCUAAAAAUGAGUUUGAAAAUGGGCAAUAUUACUGCAACCUGUGCAAUAUUAUUGCAAUCUUGAAAUGUAAAGUUAUAUAUGAUACUAUUGUGUCCUAUUAGGCAUGUCUAGAAAUAAAUGCAGAACAGCAAUAUAUGCAAAUUCUAAGUGCUGUCUUCACAUCGCUUAUGCAGAUCCUUGUAACUAGCUUUACAACUAAAAUACAAACACACUAACAUUUUAUAUUAAGCCUUUACUUAGCAGCCCUCUGUGAUUUUGCAUUAGCUACUGCUGUUUCAUUGCAACGUGUGUAACUGUGGCAUUAUUAGCCUGCUGCAAAAUACUUUUAAAUAAAUAUUAUGUUAUUUCACACCAGUGAAUGAAACCAA